rnacentral:tRNA from 1 species
UAGCUCAGUUGGAUAGAGUACAGGUUUCCGAAGCCUGGGGUCGUGGGUUCGAUCCCCGC